rnacentral:rRNA from 1 species
AUUGAACGCUGGCGGCACGCCUAACACAUGCAAGUCGAGCGGCAGCAUGGUGUGUAGCAAUACACACUGAUGGCAAGCGGCGGACGGGUGAGGAAUACGUAGGAAUCUGCCCUCAAGCGGGGGACAACCAAGGGAAACUUUGGCUAAUACCGCAUAAUCUCGAGAGAGAAAAGCUGCCCGCAAGGGUGGCACUUGAGGAGGAGCCUGCGUCCGAUUAGCUAGUUGGUGAGGUAAGAGCUCACCAAGGCGAUGAUCGGUAACUGGUCUGAGAGGACGACCAGUCACACUGGGACUGAGACACGGCCCAGACUCCUACGGGAGGCAGCAGUGGGGAAUAUUGGACAAUGGGGGCAACCCUGAUCCAGCGAUGCCGCGUGAGUGAAGAAGGCCUUCGGGUCGUAAAGCUCUUUAGGUUGGGAAGAAGUGCAUUCGGCGAAUAACCGAGUGUGUUGACGGUACCGACAGAAUGAGCACCGGCAAACUCUGUGCCAGCCGCCGCAGUAAAAC